rnacentral:tRNA from 1 species
GCGAGAAUAGCUCAACUGGUUAGAGUAUUACCUUGCCAAGGUAAGGGUUGCGGGUUCAAAUCCCGUUUUUCGCU